GAUGAACGCUGGCGGCGUGCCUAAUACAUGCAAGUCGAGCGAAUGGAUUAAGAGCUUGCUCUUAUGAAGUUAGCGGCGGACGGGUGAGUAACACGUGGGUAACCUGCCCAUAAGACUGGGAUAACUCCGGGAAACCGGGGCUAAUACCGGAUAACAUUUUGAACCGCAUGGUUCGAAAUUGAAAGGCGGCUUCGGCUGUCACUUAUGGAUGGACCCGCGUCGCAUUAGCUAGUUGGUGAGGUAACGGCUCACCAAGGCAACGAUGCGUAGCUGACCUGAGAGGGUGAUCGGCCACACUGGGACUGAGAGACGGCCCAGACUCCUACGGGAGGCAGACGUAGGGAAUCUUCCGCAAUGGACGAAAGUCUGACGGAGCAACGCCGCGUGAGUGAUGAAGGCUUUCGGGUCGUAAAACUCUGUUGUUAGGGAAGAACAAGUGCUAGUUGAAUAAGCUGGCACCUUGACGGUACCUAACCAGAAAGCCACGGCUAACUACGUGCCAGCCGCCGCCGUAA
rnacentral:rRNA from 1 species